CCGAUGGCGAAGNCAGCCCCCUGGGAUAAUACUGACGCUCAUGCUCGAAAGCGUGGGUAGCAAACAGGAUUAGAUACCCUGGUAGUCCACGCCCUAAACGAUGUCAAUUAGCUGUUGGGCAACAUGAUUGCUUAGUAGCGUAGCUAACGCGUGAAAUUGACCGCCUGGGGAGUACGGUCGCAAGAUUAAAACUCAAAGGAAUUGACGGGGACCCGCACAAGCGGUGGAUGAUGUGGAUUAAUUCGGUGCAACGCGAAGAACCUUACCUGGUCUUGACAUGUACGGAAUCUUCCAGAGACGGAAGAGUGCCUUCGGGAGCCGUAACACAGGUGCUGCAUGGCUGUCGUCAGCUCGUGUCGUGAGAUGUUGGGUUAAGUCCCGCAACGAGCGCAACCCUUGUCAUUAGUUGCCACCAUUCAGUUGGGCACUCUAAUGAGACUGCCGGUGACAAACCGGAGGAAGGUGGGGAUGACGUCAAGUCCUCAUGGCCCUUAUGACCAGGGUUUCACACGUCAUACAAUGGUCGGUACAGAGGGUAGCCAAGCCGCGAGGUGGAGCCAAUCUCAGAAAACCGAUCGUAGUCCGGAUUGCACUCUGCAACUCGAGUGCAUGAAGUCGGAAUCGCUAGUAAUCGCAGGUCAGCAUACUGCGGUGAAUACGUUCCCGGGUCUUGUACACACCGCCCGUCACACCAUGGGAGUGGGGGAUACCAGAAGUAGGUAGGCUAACCGCAAGGAGGCCGCUU
rnacentral:rRNA from 1 species